rnacentral:rRNA from 1 species
GUCUACGGCCAUACCACCCUGAACGCACCCUAUCCCUUCUGAUCUCGGAAGCUAAGCCCGUAGUACUUGGAUGGGACACCCGUAGUACUUGGAUGGGACACCGUCUCCACACCUGUGGGACAGGAGUCACAGAUA